rnacentral:lncRNA from 1 species
GUGUAUGUGUUUGUCCCAGCAACAUCGCUUGACAACCGAUGCUGGUGUAUUUACGUCCCCGUAACUUAGCGGUUCGGCAAGAGAGACCGAUAGAAUAAGUACUAGGCUUACAAAGAAUAAGUUCUGGGGUCGAUUUGCUUGACUAAGGGCAAAAUAACCCACUUCCUGAUGGUACGUAACACUAGAGUUUGUAAUAAAUGUGUUUAUUCAUUCAUUCAUUUAUUAAUUCCAUGCUGGGAUUCGUGACCACCGCUCGAUCUUUCCAUGCUAUGAAAGACGGCGGACAUAAGCCCCGAGUCGUAAACGACAAUCUCUAUUCAAAUAACUGUUGACUAUGUGUAUAUAUAUAUAUGUGUGUUGAUGUAUGUAUGUGGCUGUGGCUGUGUGGUAAGUAGCUUGCUAACCAACCUCAUGGCUCCGGGUUCAGUCCCACUGCGUGGCAUCUUGGGCAAGUGUCUUCUGCUAUAGGCCCGGGCCGACCAAUGCCUUGUGAGUGGAUUUGGUAGACGGAAACUGAAAGAAGCCUGUCGUAUAUAUGUAUAUAUAUGUGUGUGUGUGUAUGUGCGUUUGUGUGUGUGUGUUUGUCCCCCUAGCAUUGCUUGACAACCGAUGCUGGUGUGUUUACGUCCCUGUCACUUAGCGGUUCGGCAAAAGAGACCGAUAGAAUAAGUACUGGGCUUACAAAGAAUAAGUCCUGGGGUCGAUUUGUUCGACUAAAGGCGGUGCUCCAGCAUGGCCGCAGUCAAAUGACUGAAACAAGUAAAAGAGUAAAAGAGUAUGUAUGUACCUAAAAUAGCAGCAGAUGGGGUAAUAGCAGUUCCAAUCGUUGUACUAGUACCAGUAGUGGUAGCUGCUAGAAAGUAUGAAUUAGCGUCUACCGUCUGUCGGAACUCCCAUUGGCGGUCGGUGCAAUCACGUGAGACCGAGAAACAAGGUCACGGUUAAGGACAGAACGAAAAAAACAAAAAAAAAAACUGAUGUUGAAGGCGCGGAAAGAGUGCUUGUGUGUGUGCUUGUGUGUGUGAGUUUCUUUAAAUGUGGAUGUAUCUGUGUGUGUUUCUAUAUAUAUAUAUGUAUACCUGAGUUUCUAUGACUGCGUGCAUAUGUAAAUGUGUGUGCGUGCGUGUGUGUGUGUGUGUGUGUGUGUGUGUGUGUGGGUUGCUAAUCUCAUAAUCCCAAUUAAAGAUUAAGUUAUACAAAGCAAAAUCGUGUUAUUUAUAAUCGUACUCCUACACUGUGUCAUACGCAUUAUAAACCUAUAUAUAUAUAAUUUUAUAACACACACACGCACGCAUACACACACACACACGCAUACACACACACACACACACACACACACACACACACACACACACACACAUACACACACACACAUAUGGGAAUAUUCUUUAUGUUGUAUGUCUCGUUUCUCUGUUUUUCUUUUCGUUGUUCGGAAAAAAGUUCGUUUCUAUGUUUUUGCUUUCAUGUUUUCGUUUCUCAUUGUGUUCAACGUUUUUUGAUGUCCUGUACCCAUAUAUGCAUGUAUAUAUACAUGUAGAUGUAGGUACGUAUAUAUGCAUAUAUUUAUAUAUUAUUUAUAUUAUAUAUAUAUAUAUAUAUAUAUAUACAACAUAAAUAUAUCUAUCUAGAAUCUUCUGUAAUAAUAAAUGUGAAAGCGGAUGUCAGUGUGUCACAGUUUUUCAACUUUACUUCUCCCACCCCUCUCUCACUAUUCAAUGACACUUCUACAAUUCUUCAUUCAUGAUUUUUUUUCUUAAUCCUAACUUUUUCAAAAAAAUAUUUCUCUAAGGUGCAGGGGUGGCUGUGUGGUAAGUAGCUUGCUUACCAACCACAUGGUCUUCUACUAUAGCCUCGAGCCGACCAAAGCCUUGUGAGUGGAUCUGGUAGACAGAAACUGAAAGAAGCCCGUCGUAUAUAUGUAUAUGUAUAUAUAUAUAUAUAUAUAUAUAUAUAUAUAUAGUGUGUGUAUGUUUGUGUGUAUGUGUUUGUCCCCUACCAUCGCUGGACAACCGAUGCUGGUCUGUUUACGUCCCCGUAACUUAGCGGUUCGGCAAAAGAGACCGAUAGAAUAAGUACUGGGCUUACAAAGAAUAAGUCCCGGGAUCGAUUUGCUUGACUAAGGGCGGUGCUUCAGCAUGGCCGCAUUCAAAUGACUGAAAUAAGUAAAAGAGUAAAGAGCAAAUAUUAUAACUAUUUCCAAAAGUAAUUUCCAAAAUCUUUCUCUAAAUAUUAUAACUGUGUCGAGUAAUUCAACCAUAACACGUUCUUCAUAACUUUCGGAAUUGAAAGACAUAUUGAACUUAGUCUCUCAUACAUUAUUAUUUCUCAUAUGGAGGCGCAAUGGCCCAGUGGUUAGGGCAGUGGACUCGCGGUCAUAGGAUCGCGGUUUCGAUUCUCAGACCGGGCGUUGUGAGUGUUUAUUGAGCGAAAACACCUAAAAGCUCCACGAGGCUCCGGCAGGGGAUGGUGGUGAUCCCUGCUGUACUCUUUCACCACAACUUUCUCUCACUCUUACUUCCUGUUUCUGUAUUUCAAGGGGCCGGCCUUGUCACUCUCUGUGUCACGCUGAAUAUCCCCGAGAACUACGUUAAGGGUACACGUGUCUGUGGAGUGCUCAGCCACUUACACGUUAAUUUCACGAGCAGGCUGUUCCGUUGAUUCAGAUCAACCGGAACCCUCAUCGUCGUAACCGACGGAGUGCUUCUUUUUUAAAAUUAUUUCUCAUAACUCUCUACCAUAAAAAUAUUGGAAACUUAGUGUUUUUUCAGAUAUUAAUAAAAUGUGUCGGACCCAUUUUCAUGCCGUCGGCCGUCGAAGCUAUGGAAACUUAGCGCACCCUGACUGCAUGGAAAUAGAUUCAACUAAUUUUAUUAUUACCUUAAAAAAAUACUAAAAAAUACUAAAUUUAAAACAUCUUUAUGGUCAAAUACGUUUGGAGCCAUUCCAAACUAUAAAAAUAACACUUUAAAAUAGUGUUUAGCGACAGUGGUGUAAUUUUCGUUCAAACUACGAAUAGGAGGUAAGAUACGUACCAGCUGCUAUAAAUAAUUGUUUGUACGAAAAGUAAAGCCCUACGUACAUCAAAUUGUCUUUAAACUAAGUGGUGGCAGAAGAAUUAUCGUUGAACUUUUAAAAGGUAAGGUUAUUGUUGCCUACCGCCAGCUAUAUGUUGGUUGCUCAAGAGUGAGGAAUGGAAACAAGCUAUUUGUACUGACCCCGAAUGGGAAGAGGCUACAGUAGAAGACACUUGCCCAAAGUGCCACGCAGUGGGACUGAACCCAGAACUAUGUGGUUCGUAAGCAAGCUACUUGCCAAUAUUUUUUUUUUCAUAACAGAGAUUUAUUAAUUUCAAAGGAAUAUAAAAUUCUAACCUCCUUCAAAGUGGAAUACUCAGAUUUCAUUGCUGUCCUUGUAGCGCUUCAGCUACUCCAAGAAGGCGCCAUGGAAAUCAUCCAAAGUGAAGGUAUCCGGACCCUUGUCAUAGGUUUCUUCAUAUUUAAAACAACUUCCUCUGACGCUCUCCUUCAGCUUCAGGAACUAACCAAAAUUCACAAAGAGCAAGGUCUGGAAUGUAGAGCGAGUGAGAAACAGUUAUGAUUCCUAUCUCUGUCAAGUAGUUAGUAACCAGGAUGCUUUUGCUGAGAGCCCUGGGAACAAACUAUGUACAAAUUUUGCGCAAGUUCAGACCCUCGUGAACAAUUCUGUGUUAAGUAGCCGCACCAAUUCCAAAGUGUAUGCUUAUUGUCUUUACAGACACAUGAUGGUGUUCAUUCAGAAAAUUGUAAAUUUUCUCAACCAACUCUGAUGUUCCGUUGUCUUUCUCUCACCCAUAUUUCUCGUCUUCUAUCACUUCCUCCUUACAGUACUUGAACCACUUAUGCCAGCGGAGAACAGAUGCUCUUCUCAUACAAUUUAAUCCAUAAAAACAGUGGAAAAUACCAAAAGUUUCUGUAGCGUCCCCCCCACCAUCCCAGUUUCUCAGUUUAAUACAAAACGAUAAUACACAACGCGUUUUCAAAUUGACCUCACAUCCCAACUGCAUUCUGCAAACAAGUCAGCUAUGACCAGAAGAGUUUAGUAGGAUUUGUUCGAAGUGAUACUACAGCCGUUUCUUUCAAUUUGAAAUUACAACAAUUGGCAAGUCACCUUAUUAGAUGUACAGUAACGAUUUACAAAAAUUACAACAAUGUAGGACAGUUAAAGCUAACUCUCCUAAAAACGUCUCAAAUUUCUGGUAUACGCCUCGUAUGAGUGUGUGUGUGUAUAUAUAUAUAUAUGUAUGUAUAUAACGUGAAGUAUAUUUGCCACUUAAAUGUGGCUAGCCACUAAGGGUGUAUGCUACUGUAGCUUGUAGCCCCAGGAGAACAUCUUCUCCAGCUGGCUAUUGACACGCUUUCUGUGCCCUAUCUAUGAAGCAAAUAAAGAGAAAUCGACCGGCUAAUUCGUACAGUACAAGUGCAAUCUGUGAGUGGAACAGUAAAAAUGUGCAAGACUUUUCUGAAGUUCCAAAUGCGAAUUUGUCUAUGUUAACUACAUCCCAAAGAUGGAGCCUUGUAUCUUUGUUGGAAACCGGCUCCCUCCUCAGUGGAAAAUUUAUAAUAAUUGAAAAAUCGAAAAGACAUUCAUAUUUAUGUCUGUCUGUCUGUCUGUAUGUAUGUAUUUUAUAAGCAAAUUCAGAAUCCCCGACUGAGUCGGUAUUUUACAAAAGUUAAAGUAAAUCUCGGAUGCAAGAUACCUGUGAAUACAGCCUAGAAGAUAGGGUAACUAUCAUUAGAUGACUUCUAAGGGUAUUUCACCCACUCCUAUCUUCUAAGCCGUGUGCAUCUUUGUUUUUUGGUGGGUGGGUGCACCAACGCUUGAUAACCGAUAAUGCUUUGUUAAAGUACACAUACCCUUAGUGUUCGGCAUAAGUGACCAAUUAAAUAAAUCCAAGGCUCUCAAAAAAAUAAAAAUAAAUAAAAGAGUUCUGUGUUCAGUUUAUUUGACUAAAAACAAUUCGA